rnacentral:rRNA from 1 species
UACGUAGGGUGCAAGCGUUGUCCGGAAUUAUUGGGCGUAAAGAGCUCGUAGGCGGUCUGUUACGUCGGCUGUGAAAACCUGGGGCUUAACUCUGGGCGUGCGGUCGAUACGGGCAUCACUGGAGUUCGGCAGGGGAGACUGGAAUUCCUGGUGUAGCGGUGAAAUGCGCAGAUAUCAGGAGGAACACCAAUGGCGAAGGCAGCACUCUGGGACGUGACUGACGCUGAGACGCGAAAGCGUGGGGAGCAAACAGG